rnacentral:lncRNA from 1 species
AAAGGUACUUAAGGAAAUAUCUGUUGGAGAACUAAAUCCAAAUGAAACUGUACAGGCCAAUUUGGAAGCCCAACUCCUCUCCAAGCUGGACCACCCAGCCAUUGUCAAGUUCCAUGCAAGUUUUGUGGAGCAAGAUAAUUUCUGCAUUAUCACGGAGUACUGUGAGGGCCGAGAUCUGGACGAUAAAAUUCAGGAAUAUAAACAAGCUGGAAAAAUCUUUCCAGAAAAUCAAAUAAUAGAAUGGUUUAUCCAGCUGCUGCUGGGAGUUGACUACAUGCAUGAGAGGAGGAUACUUCAUCGAGACUUAAAGUCAAAGAAUGUAUUUCUGAAAAAUAAUCUCCUUAAAAUUGGAGAUUUUGGAGUUUCUCGACUUCUAAUGGGAUCCUGUGACCUGGCCACAACUUUAACUGGAACUCCCCAUUAUAUGAGUCCUGAGGCUCUGAAACACCAAGGCUAUGACACAAAGUCGGACAUCUGGUCACUGGCAUGCAUUUUGUAUGAGAUGUGCUGCAUGAAUCAUGCAUUCGCUGGCUCCAAUUUCUUAUCCAUUGUUUUAAAAAUUGUUGAAGGUGACACACCUUCUCUCCCUGAGAGAUAUCCAAAAGAACUAAAUGCCAUCAUGGAAAGGUAUAGAAAUAAACAUGUUGUCACAGAAAUAA